rnacentral:rRNA from 1 species
UACGUAGGGGGCAAGCGUUGUCCGGAAUUAUUGGGCGUAAAGAGCGUGUAGGCGGUCCGGUAAGUCGGCUGUGAAAGCGCCCGGCUCAACCGGGCGAGGCCAUUGGAAACUACAAAGCUGGAGGGCAGUAGAGGCAGGCGGAAUUCCGGGUGGAGUGGUGAAAUGCGUAGAGAUCCGGAGGAACACCAGAGGCGAAGGCGGCCUGCUGGGCUGCACCUGACGCUGAGCCGCGAAAGCCAGGGGAGCGAACGGG